AAUUGUGUGAUGAUUGCUUGACUUGUCCUAAGAUAGCUAAAAUCUGCCAAGAACUAAAAUUGGCAAAAUGUUAAGUUUUUAUUUGGUCAAGUAGUCUAAUCACCCCCCCUCUAGACAUACUUUCGAUCCUACAGGGGUUCUAGGUUUUCCGGUGGAUGUCCAGCGAGUACGAGGUAGCUUUCACGAAAGGCAUCACCCGCGACUACCAGGUCAACUCCGGUGAUUUUGGGAGUUCCUGUUUCGUCAGGGGGAGUCGAGGGUGCGUGUUCUAGGGGAUACGGGUUUCAUGGCGAUUCACCUCCAUAUCACGCAGAUUCGGCGAGGUAUUCCGGCGUGUUGCCUCCGGCCAAACCGUCUGAUUUGGCAUUGCGAUUUUUUGAAUUUUUUUGCGGCGAUUUGAGUUGGAAUACAAGGAAGGGAGUACAUAAGACUACUGAUAGGAUAGUUCUGAUGUUUUUGCUGAACCAUCUCAAAAUGCAUCCGUGUGGUUUCUCUGUUUUCUCAUAAGUUGUGUGCAUAUAUGUAACCAGUUGGCUAGUUUGUUCUCCUAGUUGCACAGAAACGCAAAUGUAGUUGGAUCACACAUAUACAUAUCUCAGUUGGCUAGCCAACUUAUGGAGUUGCACAGUGAUGGCUAACCAAUUGCACAAUCGAUGGUAUUCAAACCAUGUUCAAACAGUAUGUCUGUUUUUAAGGGUAUGCGUUCAUACAUGAGUUUGCAAAAUCAAAGCAGUACAUAUCCUAGUUGGCUUAGUCACACUUAUGCAGUUGUACAGCAAAGGGCCAUGUAGUUGCAUGGCCGGAGGCUAGUUUAGUUAUGACUCAGAUGCCUAAAUCAUGAUUAGUAUAUGCAGAUUUUUUGGUUGCACACUCAUGUGUGUCCUGUUGGCCAUACAGUGCAUCAAGUUGCACACAUUUUGUUUUGUUUUGUAGGUGUGCUUUGAAAAAUCAACAUUACUUGUUUAAAUCAUGGCAUUAUUUUGAUACCAAUUUUUCCCUCAUUUUUCUCUUUUAUACAUAUGGUUGCUUUAACUAAUUUGUCCGUUUGCUUUUUUAUCAGACCAAAAAUGGUUGUGGAAGGAGAUGCAGCUCCUAGUGAAGGAGGGGGAUCUGCAAACCAUUCUUCUAGGUGGAACUCGAAACGACCCACCGAGCGGCAGACGCGUCGUGUUGAUAUCGACGAGGAGGCAGAGGAUGAUGAGGCAAGUAUCGAGCAACCAGUGUGGGUGCAUUUCACUUUUUUGCGCGCGCGCACACACACAGAGAAGUAACUUUCUCCAUGCAUCCUUUAGGUUGCUUACCAAUUCUGCUUUGUGAAAUGGUGUAAACGGAAGGCAACCACGCAGGUUGGAGUUGUAGAUGGAGCUGGCACAUCGUCUGCAGCAGCUGCUGAGACAGGCUAAAUUCAUGUUCAUCAGUUGAAAAUUCAUUGCAUACUAGCAAGAUGCCCGUGCGUUGCACGGAACAUCAAGAUCUCGUGGGAGAAAAGGAUGAACGAGGGAAGGCCUUAUCUGCAAAUGUGGAGAGGAGUGCGGGUAAAUUGUCAUAGUUUCCUUCCUAUCCGUUAGAUAUAGAUCGGGAGCCUAUAUUGCAGGAUGGCAGGCACACCAUCAUCACCAACUCUGCCUUUUAUAAGAGUAUAUAGAUAUAGAUAGAUAGUUGCAGAAACCUGCGGCAUGAAUUGCAUCCAGGAGUACUUACAAUUGCACAAAAUAGAUGAUGAAGUUGUAAAACAGCCAGCAUAAAGUGUUUUUGGAAUUCUGCAUACAGAAGUUUAGCUAAAACUAAAAUGAAUAUGAAAUUAUAUGAGUUGGAAUCUUCUACUUUUAUAUGAGUUGAAGAUGUCAACUACUGAAAUCCAAACCCCACAAGUAGAUGGAUAUGGGAGUGUUGUCAAUUUGCACACUUGUACUGGUUAAGUUGCACAAACACAAGUGAAAGUUGGUUUAUU